UGUGGACCAGGAUUAGAUACCCUGUUACUUUUAAUUAAAAGAUUUUGGAAUAAUAGUGUUAAUGAAAUUUAACGGAUUUGGCGGCAAGAUAGCCCCUUAGAGGAACCUGCCCUAUAAACGAUGAACCACGAGUACUUUACUUUUUUUGGUAAUUCAGUUUGUAUAUCGCUGUUGUCAGUUAGAUUCUUGAGAAUAUUUUCAUAAAUGAUAAAAUCAUUGACUUCAAGUAAAGGUGCAGCUUAUAAGAAAGAUAGAGGUGGGUUACAAUUAUUUGAAUAAAACGGAUUAGAUAAUAGAAUUAGUCUAUGAAGGUGGAUUUAACUGUAAAGCCUAAGAAGGUUUGGUGAGAGCUCUAUCUUGUGUACACACCGCCCGUCGCUCUCUUUUUUAAA
rnacentral:rRNA from 1 species